rnacentral:lncRNA from 1 species
UUUAUUCCUCUAGUAGAUCAAACACUUCAUCUUAUGUGUUUUGUCUUGAAGAACAAUCAUCUACAAUCACUAAAGAUUCCUCUAGAACAAGAGAGUAUCUAAAGAAUAUAUCAAGGAUAAGAAUCAAGAUUUUAUGGUGCUAAAAAAGACAAGAAUACAUAAUCAAUUUUGAGUUUAAGCCAGCUGUCCAAAUAGUAUAACAUCGUACAAGUCAUGUGCAACAUUCUCUGC